CCACGGAAUCUGGGCUGCCUCUAGAAGCUGGAAAACGGAAGCAACAGAUGCUCCCCGGCAGCCUUCUGAAAGAACACAGCCCUGCUGACACCUUAACUUUAGUCCAAAAGCACAAGCAAGAAUGUGUGAGAAGAUCACAGAGACCUAAAGAAGGGGAAGGGAAGAACCCACAUGUGAGAGAGAAGAGAUUGUCUGACUUGGUGUUGCGCCUUAAAGCACUAUCCAAUAAACCUCCUACAUGCAAAUCUCCAUCUCAGAAUCUGUAUCCAAGAGAUUCUACUCAAGACAUCAUCUUUUCCAGUCAGUGUUCCUAAUUGCACUGCCCCUGGAAAACGCACGGAGAAGAAAUACAGCAAAAUACAUGAGAUGGUGAAACACUCUGGCAACUGCAAGCGGACAGAUGGGAUCUGGGAGGAAUAUGGAUGGAGCUGGAGGCUAUUAUCUUUAGCAAAUUAACUCAGGAACAGAAAACCAAAUACUGCAUUUUCUCAAUUGUAAGUGGGAGCUAAGUGAUGAGAACUUAACUAACACAAAGAUGGGAACAACAGACACUGGGGUCUACUUGAGGGUGAAGGGAGGGAGGAGGGAGAGGAGCAGAAAAGAUAACUGUUGG
rnacentral:lncRNA from 1 species